AAAGAGGUCGCAUACACAACUAUCUCAGUCAUCUCAGGAUCAACAAGCUCAACCAUCUCAAAAGCAACUAUCACAAAUGUCUAAAAAAUUGACAUCUCAUAAGUAUCUGGGGCAAUUUUCUGAUCAUAUACAUCCACAUAUUGUUGACAUUAUUGAAGUGUUAGGAGAUGGAAAUUGUGGUUUUAGAGCUGUUGCAUAUUUACUUGGUUACACAGAGGAAGGUUGGCCCAUCGUCCGCCGAGAGUUACAUGAAGAGCUGACAAAUAAUAACAAUUUGUAUGAGAAAUUAUUCAGACAAGGUUUACAGGGCGUUAGAGAUUCGCUGGUAGCAAAUAGAUGGUUCACCGUACCUGCUAUGGGUUACUUGGUAGCAAAUAGGUAUAAUAUUAUUUUAGUCACUUUGGGUAAACCUAGUCGGACCUUCUGAUGUAGGAGGAUCCUCCUACAUCACCUUCUUUCCUAUGAUGACUUCAUAUUCCUCUUCAGCAAGGUUUUUUUGUAUCGGUUUUGUCGGUGGAAAUCAUUAGGUGCCGGUAAACAUGUCAAAGGGA
rnacentral:lncRNA from 1 species